UACGGAGGGUGCGAGCGUUAUCCGGAGUUACUGGGCGUAAAGGGCAGGCAGGCGGGUCGAUAAGGCGGAUGUGAAAUCUCCCUGGCUUAACCGGGAGAGUGCAUUUGAGACUGUCAACCUGGAGGGCAGCAGAGGAGCGUGGAAUUCCGGGUGGAGUGGUGAAAUGCGUAGAGAUCCGGAGGAACACCAGAGGCGAAAGCGGCGCUCUGGGCUGCACCUGACGCUGAACUGCGAAAGCCAGGGGAGCGAACGGG
rnacentral:rRNA from 1 species